UCCAGAGUCUUGCUCUUGCCCUCUUCCCCAGCCAAGUGUCUCUCCGUCGUCCACACAGAUAUUCACUGAGGCAGGGUCUGUGAUACUGUAGGCUUGCUGGUCACCAAAUCCCUGCAAAUUCUGAGUGCAUGUGUUCAUGUGUGUGUGUGUGUGUGUGUGUGCAUUUGUGUGCCUUCCUAAGCAUGUGGGAUGGGUCUGUCUUUACUCUUUGAUGUUGUGCACUACAGUGGUUCAAGGCAGGGACCGCUGGCAGCUCCUCCCUCAGCCCCUUAACAGAGACCUCCAGGGAUGGAAGCAGUGGCAAAAGGUCAGUGGCGAUUCUUGGUGAGGCCCAUGGUGGGCCCUGUAGUUACAGUGAUGGAGAAGCCCAGGUGUGGCUGGGAGACAGGAGCCCACAGCACAGAAGGCUCUCCUGGGGACAGCUAGCUCCUGCCUGUCUCUUGGGAGGCCCCUCUAGGGCCACAAAUGCCUGUCUUUUCAAGCUGUGGCUCUAAGCUCCUGGAAUAAUGCCAGCAUGGAAGAGAGAUGGCCUAGAGCUGGAAGAUGCAUGUUCAGUCCUGGUCCUGCUCCUGGGUGACCUUAGGCCAAUGCAUUGCCUCACCAGGGUCCCUGCCUGUCAGGGGCGGAUGGUGCAAGGGAAAGCCAUGGAACAGUUGUGAAGGGCUCUUCCUGACCGCAUCCCAGGGUCCUGAGGGUCCCUGAGUCUCAGAGGCAGCCUUGCCCAGAGGCCUGAGGCUGGCCUGGUUGAGGAAAGGAGGGCAAGGUGCUAGCCAGCAAGGGCCCAGCAUUCUUACCACCUCACUCUCUGAGCCUAGGGAUGCCUGGCGUCUCCGUCCAGAGAUCCAGCUGAGGUCCGAGGCCUGGCUGCUCAGUGUGGAGCGGUGGGUAGAGCGGUAGCUGGCGUAGGGGCCAGUGCGCUGGCCCGACACGCCCAGCAGCACCCCCAGGCAGGGCAGGUGCUGGGCAAUGGCCAUUCUGCAAGAACAACACAUUUGGUUAGGAGAUGGGGGUGGACCAACAGACUGAUAAAGGGCUAAUGGGAGUGGAGAGAAAGCCACUGGGGAAUUGGGGGAGUUUCAAACAUUGUAGUUAUGAGGACAGACAAUUGAUAGGGUGAUGGCGAUGGACAAAAAGACACUGGCAGUCAGAGGAGGUGAUGAGGAAGAACAGACAGAUGCUGGGGUGAAAGAGACUGACAGGCUCAUAGUGUUGGGGAUGGACAGACACUGAGGCCAUGGGCAUGGAGGGAGAGGCUUUGGGUAGCAGGUUCAGCAAGGUGCUUGGUUUCAUCUCUCACGUGGCUGGCCCAAGGCACAUCUCUUCCAAUGGGGACCAGGGACGCUCCUCUGAGCCUGCAGCUGGCCUCAGCAGGGUGGGGAGUUACUGACACCACCAGGCAAAAGAAAGCACUGAAGGACUCCUCAUGCAAGAGGCCAGCUGUGCCGGGAUUCUAUCAGCAGAGAAGGCUCUGGGCCAGAACCAGUCCCAGGCCUCUGCUAGGGCCCUUGAACUCUCCCGACUGUGGUCUCUCUAGGACAUUGCUCUCUGGGGGCUUCUCUUUCUAGCGGGUAUCACUGCUUAUUGGCCAUCUUGGCUGCCUUUGGGCCCUGGCUCCAAAAAUUCCAUAGUCAGGAUUGGACAAUGCCCAGGGAGCUCUGAUGUCCCUCCAAGCUGAGCCCCCUGGGAAACUGGGGCAGUGGGUAGAGGGGGUGCACAGCAGCUCCAGACCCCACCUAGGGUCACUGGCUGUUCCCAGCUGCUAGAGGUCCCCGUAUACAUGAGAGAUAGGAAAGAUGGCUGGCCUCUGCCCCCAUUCACUGCUUCAGGCCCUCUGUGCCCAUGAGGGUGGGUCUGGAGACCUGGGGCUGGGUCCCGGAGGAGGGCCGCACCUGUACUUGGGGUGGGUGAUGGCAUAAAUGAUGGGGUUGUGGAUGGCAGAGGCCUUGGCGAUGACAGCUGGCACCGAGUUCAUGUAGGGUGUCAGCACAUGCGCGUACCUAGGACAGAGAAGCAGUGGUCCCCCUACCAGCUGGCCCUCCUAGAGCCUCCACAGCCCACCUUCCCACUCAGGAACCUUCUUCCUCUAGGCCAGGCCCUGCAGGGCACAGCCCAACCUGGCCCAAACCAGCACAGCCAAGUCAGCCCCCCAGGAGGGACUGCCAUGCAGGGAGCGUUCUGACCGGAGGUGAGCGGGAACCAGGGGAGCAGUUGAGGGAGGGCGGCUGAGAGGAAGAUGUGCCAGGUUGGGAAGUUCCACCAGGUCCACUAUAGCUUGGAGCCUGUGCUGCUGGCAAUAAGCCCUACCCACCCCCAGUGACUCUGGCCCUCCGCCCAUCUCCUCCCCCACCCCACCCAACCCUGAGACCCACUGCUUCCCUGGCUGCCUUAGAGUGAUUUCACCAGAGAGCUUUAGGGAGGACCAGGCCAUUCCUGCACAAGGAGGUCUCGUACCCAAACAAGUUCCAGGAUUAAUAAGUAUCACUGUCUCAAAGUGCUCCUGCAUUCUGGCCUAUGUCCAUGCUGCUGUGGACAUCAAGGUCCCCAGACUCUAGCCACAAAGGACGAGCAGGCAGGGGGUGAGUGGCUCUCCUGGUUGUGUGUCCACAGGUGAAGAGGGAGCCAGAAACUCAGGGAGAGUCAAGUGUUCCCGUGGGAUCUGGCAGGACCUGGUAGCCCUUGUAGGCCCUCAGGUCAAAUCCACUGUGGUCCAGAGCUCCCCGCACCCCUAACCUGCCGCUGCCGUUGCCGGGGGGACCUACCACCACCCUCGCAGGCCCUGAAGGUCUGGAGAGCCCUAGGAUGGGUGCAAAGUCCGAGUCUGACCCCACUCUGGAUGCACUCUUACUGGCCUGUCUCCCGGAUGGCCCUGAAGAUGAAGAUGUAGCAGUAGAUGAUGACCAGCAGGGGCAAGAAGAACACAAAGCAGAAGAGGAGCAUGGUGUAGGCUCGAACUGAUGGCGUGAAGCUCAUGUAGUCCCAGGAGCAGGAGGUCAUCAGCCCCUCUGGUACGUAGGCACCUGGAAUCCGGGGUGGGGGGCAGGUGCUCAGCCUUCAGGGUAGUGUGAUUCAGUCUCCUCCUCCAGCAGGGGCUCUGGAGGUGGGGUCUGGGAUCCCUGAACACUGGUCCCAAGCCCUGCCCUUCCCAGUUCAGUGCGGAAAGCAGGGCACCUGGAGGGGAGCUUUCCAAGCCAGUUUUAGCAGGCAAAGCUCACUGCUGCCCAUUUUUGCCAGUUUGGAACAGAGACCUCACCAUAGCCCCAGGGUCUCACUCCACCAGAUUUGGCCAGGUGCUCGAUCCUGCCACAGAAAGGUGGGUGCCUUCCUGCUAACUCUCCUACCCGCUCAAGCCCCACACCCCAACACCUGCGUGUCUGACUCUGCAACUCAGCAUUGGAUACACCUGUCACUUCCCACCACCCAAGAGCCAUGUGGUCUUCCCCUGUACUGGGAGAGGGAAACCCAGGUCACACUCUGAUUGCUGAUGGCACAUCAGUUUUUUCCCUGCUGCUAGUCGUGUGCCCUGAAUAUCCAUCUGCCUUGAGCCUCAAGCACUCCCUUGGCCCCACCUGCCAGCUGGCCACCCCGAGUCUACCAACCUGCCCCUUGAACAUGCCCUUCCCAGCUUAUCUUCCCCUCUCCCGAUUCCCCCAGUCCACUUACUCCAGCCAAAGAAGGGUGGCAGACUCCAGGCUAGGGCAUAGAGCCAGACGCCCAGCAGGACAAGCGCCGCCCGCCUCUUGGACACCACCCCGAUGGUGGCCAGUGGGUGCGUGAUCACCAGGUAGCGGUCCAGAGCAAUGGCCAUCAGGGUGAUCAUGGAGGUGAUGCCAAAGAGAGCCCCACAGAAGGCAUAGAACUCGCAGCCUGUGGGCACAGCUCCCUGACCUCAGAUCUUGGCAGGAGCCCAUGAGGUACCCCAGGGGAGGGAGCGUCUGAGGAUGUCACAUACUCAGCUCCUGCCUUCUCUCCAGAAAAGCAGCCCUGAGCCCCUCUCCAGCCUGGCUACUUGCCACAUCUGGCCCAGAAGCUGAGUUUUCCCUCUUGCUCACUCAUGGGAUUGAGGGCGGCCACCCAUUCUCUGCCCAGGAAGAGCAGAUCACCUCCUUGUCCAAGGCCACCCUCCACUGUGGGCAUGGGCCACCACAACCCUCCUCCUCCCUCCAGCAUGAGGGAACCCUGAACGUCUACCUGCCUCCCCGAAGAGCCACCGCUUAUGGAGGCUGCUGGCGAAGAAGACAGGGGCCUGGGUGAAGGACAUGAAAAAGUCACUGACCGCGAGGUUGAUAAUGAACAUGUUGGCAGGUGUCCUGAGUCCUCUGCUCCUGUGGAGGGUCAGAAGCUGUCAGGAGGUGCUUCUGCUGGAGAACUUCCCUGAACUACAUGUGCACACACACACGCGUGCCCACGCACACAUGUGCACAUGUACAGUCACCAGCCACUGGGCCACAAUCCGUCUUGGUGCCUAGCCAGCACCAGCCAGAUAGCUCUGGAGCCUGACAGUGUGGACUAAGAAGUGAGGUCCCCUGAAAGACAGCAACUCUUGCCCUGUAUGGAGAGCAAUACCACUCCCAGAGUGUUGUGCAGCCCAGCAGAAGCAGGAGCUAGCUCUAGGGCUCAUCUGUUUCCUCCUCUCUCCCUCUGGAAUCCUCUGCAUGACCCACACUCUCUCCUUGGACACACCCCUCACUCCUCUGAACCCCUCCAGGCCAAGUUCUCCCAAGUGGCUCCUCCCGCAGAGCUUCUCACAUCUUCCUCCUCAGGUGCCCCUCCUUGUCCCCCUCAUUUCAGUAUUUCUGCAGUCUUCACCCUCGGGGAUGGCCCAGGCUGUGCCCUACAGGUCAGGCAAUUUCACAGACUUCUCUCCCAUAAUUAUCCAUCUUUGCAUCUAUCCCCUCCCUCUUUUCCAGAUGGGAACACGGAGGUUCCCACCCAGGAAGUGGCUUCUUCCAGAUAACAAGGCUCAGUAAGUGGCACUGCCAGGAUUCAAACACUUAUUUGAUGUGCACUGCACAGGCGUAGAUUUACUUAACCAUCACAUUGACUCCGUGAAAUCAAUCACAACUCUGUUUUGCCAACAAGAAAAACGGACUCCCAGAGGAUAAAUGACUUGUUCAAAGUCAGUUCAGCUAAUAGGUAGUAGGGUCAGAAUUCACUUCUUCACCUUCAGCCCAAGAAUGGGGCAAGUGGGGAAAGAAGCUGGGGGUGGUUUCCAAGGGUGGCUGCUGAGAGUCUUGAGGAUUAAGGGUCCUGUUGCCUGGGCUGCUCUUUGAGGCAGAGGAAGGAUACCCACUGGGGCAGGUGACAUGGAGGUAAGCUGAGAGCAGGGUAGAAUGGACAGAGGCUCGGGUAUUGUAGGGACAUUUGUCUUACAGAAACUAUGCCUGGGGCCCAUUGGCAUGUGCCACUCAAGUUGCCCUGGACUACUCUUUGGCCCCUUCCCUGAGCUGGAAGAUGGAGGCCUGCCCUGAGACCACUGAGGGCCUGGCCGUGGUGUCCCCACCCAGGCUCAACGGAGCCCUGGCAGAACUGGCACUAGAAUUCCUGCCCUGUCUUUGCAUGGCCAGCUGCCCUCAGUGCCCAUGCGCACCAACCAGGUACCUGCAGAAGGUAUAGAUGACCAUCAGAUUGCCCAGAAUCCCCGUGAGCCCCACCAGCAGGAUCACUGUGCCCAGGGUGUAGUGGGCAUGGUCCGGAACAUCAACUGUGGGGAAAGGUAUCCAGGCAGCAGCCUGAGCCCUCGCUGCCUGCAGAGAGACAGAGAAAUAAGAGCAUCACGUUAUCCUGUCAUCUUCAAAUAGCCCCGAGAAAGAAGGGUUAGGGUUCCCAUAGGGUGGGUAGGGAGACUGAGGCUCAGAGUGGCACAGCCACUUGCCACACUACUAGGAAGUGGCUGAACCAGAGUGGAAAUUCAGAUCUCUCUGAAGUCAAGCUCAAGCUCCUAUACCAUGACACAGAGGCACAAGGAUUCUAGGAUCAUCUGUUGGAGGCUGGUCGGACAGACAGACACAUGUCUGACAAGGAGGAACAUGGCUGGAGUAAGUCUACCUUUCCUUGGGGAGAAGGCAGAGCCAUCCCGUGAGUGGCUUUCUCUCCACUAUAUGGCCCUGACCCAAGCACUCAAGAUGGUCUGCAAUGGUAUUCUAGGCCCUGUAGACUCUGGGGUGGUGGGGUUGGGUAGAGCCCCUCUCCUCAAGACCCCCAGCCUCAAAGACUGCCACAGUAUAAUGGAAUGGGGCUGAGUUUGAUGCCUGGCAUGGGAGAGAGGAAAGGAAUUUCCCUUUAAAAAGAAAGCUUACGGGGCACUUGGCUUGCUCGGUCAGAAUAGCGUAUGACUCUUGAUCCUGGAGUCAUGAGUUUGAUGUUGGGUGUAGAGAUUAAUUAAAUAAAUAAACUAAAAAAAAAAAAAAAGAACACUUAAGUCUCCCAUGACCUCCCAGGGAGGUCAUGACCCUAUAGGCCAGUACAAAGGGCUUUAAAGACCCCUCUCCCCUAGCUCCUUUCCUGGGAAGGAGGACAAGUUAGUCUCUGCCUUGCCUCCUAUAGCUACAGAGCCUUUCCAUCCUAUCCAGGAUAUAGGCCUGCAUCCCAGGGUCCUAAGGGCCAGCCCUCCCCAGUUAACAGUGGGUUUGGGGGCUAUGGUCCUGGGGCCCUGGCAGGAUCUUGGACGCAACAGAAGGCACCUAACACCUCACUCUGGGCUGGACAAAUCCAGAGACCUAAGGUAUGUCUUCCUCUCUGGAAGGCUUCAUGGGACAUCCAACCACCCUCAGAAAAGAAUGGAUGCAGCCAAGGACAGAUCUGUGCCAUUCCAGCCCCUUGUCCUUUAGGGUUGACCUUUCCGUUCCUCGAAUGCACUCCACAGGGAAAGACAUUCCCUACACUGUCUUCCUUGUCCUCUUUGUGGGAUAGACUCAGAGAGGUCCAGUAACAUGACCAAGGUCCCACAGUAGAGCUCAGGCCAUUUCUAUCUCCCUGUCAAAGCCCCUGUGUGUUCCCAACAUGGAGGCCAGGGUGAGGGGAGGGGAGGCUCUGUGUGUGCACACGCUGGCCUCUGGCUUACCGUGGGACUGAUGGGUAGAGGUUGGUCCAGGCUGGAAGUGCUGCUCUGGUAGCCGUCCCACCUGCUGGGUGAAGCUGGGGUGGCCACACAGCUGGGCUCCUGGGUUCUGGGCCCUGAAGGAGGGUUCAUCCUGAAGUAGGGCCGUCCUUUCUCAAGCCCACAGAGAAGUCAAGGGCACAAGGUGCUCAGGAUAUUAGCUGUGCCCCGUCUCCCAAAUUUCCUCCUUCCUUAGCAUCCCUGCUUGAUUGGCUGGCUGCCUGUUCCUGCAUCCAGCAUGGACCGAGCCUGGAGCUGCUCUUCGAGCUGAUGACUGCUGUGUCCAGUGAAGCACAAAGGAACGAGUGUCACAGCUAUGGCGACUCACAGCCACGGGGUCUGUCCCCACCUUUAAGUAGCGGAGCGGGGAGUGCACAUGCCCAGUUGCUCAGUCCUGCGGGCUCCCUGAGAUACAGGUCCCUGGGUAUCUGUCCACAGAAGGUUUGAUGAUGGUAGUAUACAUGUGUGAAAGUGUGUGUGUGUGUGUGUGUGUGUGUGUGUGCGCAUGAGUAUGAGAGUGUGUGUCAGUGUGAAUGUGUGUGUAUAUGUGUAUUUCAGGGGAGACUGUUCUGCUUGGCCUCCUGGACAUUGGACAGGAGCCUUUGUCCUCCCCUCUGACAAGGCUCUCUCUCUUCCCCGAGCUCAUCAAGAACAGCAUCUGCUCCCUCAAUGAUGCCCGGGGUUGCCCAGUGGCGCCCAGCUUCACCCUUUCCAUGGGGUGCCCUGCCCUUAGGUUCAGCCCACAUGAGUCCAUCACAUCUUCACAACCACCCCCCUCCCAGAACCAAGGCUGGUCACCCACUCCACAGAUGAAGAAGCUGAGGAUGUGCCAGGAUAUCACACAAUCAGGGUGAGAUCACAUCACAAGGCAUUUUGUUUAUUUCUUGCCUUUGAUAAUAAAUUUUUUAAAUUGUUA